rnacentral:tRNA from 1 species
GGUUUGUGGCUCAGUGGUAGAGUGCUUGCCUAACUCAUGAGGCCCUGGGUUCAAUCCUAAGCACCA